UGGGUAGGGGAGCUUCCCAUACGGGUUGAAGCAUGACCGUAAGGACAUGUGGACAGUAUGGGAGUGAGAAUGUUGGCAUGAGUAGCGAGAUGUGGGUGAGAAUCCCACAGGCCGUAAACCCAAGGUUUCCAGGGGAAGGUUCGUCCGCCCUGGGUUAGUCGGGACCUAAGCUGAGGCCGAAAGGCGUAGGUGAUGGACAACAGGUUGAUAUUCCUGUACUACCGAUAACCGUUUGAGAGAAGGGAUGACACAGUAGGAUAAGCUAAGCAC
rnacentral:rRNA from 1 species